rnacentral:lncRNA from 1 species
AGUCAUCAACCUCUUAUGAAUAGUGCUCCUUCAUUCUCCAAGUUAGACAACAAUAUCCAUAUUAUGCCUUGGUUGCACAUGAAAUGUAAGCAUUUUACUAGUCUAGUCUAGUCCAGUCCAAUCAAGCCCUCCCUAACAAACAAGGCCUCUGAUAUAAGUAGUCAAGAGUUUGGCACUUUUGAACAAGUUCAAAGUUUGACUUGUGUGUAUGUGUGGUGGUCACAUAAACAUGUAAUAGCUGGUGGUGGUUUUCUUUGGUGGAUGACAAGUUUCUUCACCUGUGAUAAAAUCCCUUGCUUUUGAAAUGGAUGAGAUUUUGUGGCCAUCAUGGAGAGCAUUCUGUGAGUUGGCCUAGUUAAAAUAACUUGUAAUGGAGCAUAUUAAGCUGAAGACUUCGAAAAAAAAGAAGAGAAAUGCAGAAACUUAGACCACUUGGAUUGAGUAAUGAGUAGGGUUCAGGAUGACCUAAGUCGAAGAAUCUGGAUUGACAUUGUUGUCUGUCAUAUGAAUGUAAUUUUUAUUUUUGAUAUUACGUGGAUUUUAAUAACUACGACAUAUUUCAUGAUCAUCAUCGGUAUGCUUUAUGUUCAGAUAUAAUCUAGUUUAUUAAGAAAGUAUUUAUAUAGUCGAUGCUGGUAGUUAUUCGUGCAUAUUAUCAUCAUUAUGACAUUGGUAUGCGUAUAAAGCAGUCGGCCAUAAUUAUUUCAUGGUCAUUUUGGGUAUGUUUUAUGUUCAAAUCUAAUCUAGUCUAUUUUAUCCAACUGGAUUCUUCAGCUGUAAUCAGGUAUCCAUGUCUAGUUUUGAACACUAGUACGCUCAUAAAUUUCCUGAUGUGUCAUCAUGCUUGGAUGUUGAGCACUGUUUCUCUUCUUCUACAUUUGGUAAUAUUCGGGCCCCUUCUUUUGGAUCUUUUAUUGAAAUUUUGAAAUGACAUGUAUGGAGGCCUAUUAAAUAGAUAAUUUGUUUGUGGAGUGCUGGUUGUUGGUUAGACUGCAGUAGGACCAAUUUCUGAAUGUUCUUUAUCUGUAGUUUGAUCUCUGCAGCAAGCAAAGCUUCAUGAUGCUUCAGCUCGAUGCGGCAUCCUUCCAGCCUUUUUGGCUUAAUGAUCGAUGAAUCUCUGAGGCCCAACAAUGAAGUCUCAGAUAUCAGUCAUGGGUGCUUCUUGGUUCGUCCCAAUGUUUCACUUUCCAGUCCUCUUGUAAGAACAAGUUAAUAUAUUUUGAUGUUCUUUUGUUUCGUUUUGUUGUAAUUGACCUGACCUUUUUACCCUGUGGGAGUGAGGUUUAUCACGUAAUUCUUCUUAAGUGUGCCAUAUUUAAGCUUCAUUCUAUAUAGUGGAGACUUGGAAUUAAUGAAGUCGGAUAUGAUACUCUACAUAUUUAUUUUGG